rnacentral:rRNA from 1 species
CUACGGGGCGCUGCAGUGGGGAAUAUUGCACAAUGGGCGCAAGCCUGAUGCAGCCAUGCCGCGUGUAUGAAGAAGGCCUUCGGGUUGUAAAGUACUUUCAGCGGGGAGGAAGGGAGUAAAGUUAAUACCUUUGCUCAUUGACGUUACCCGCAGAAGAAGCACCGGCUAACUCCGUGCCAGCAGCCGCGGUAAUACGGAGGGUGCAAGCGUUAUCGGAAUUACUGGGCGUAAAGCGCACGCAGGCGGUUUGUUAAGUCAGAUGUGAAAUCCCCGGGCUCAACCUGGGAACUGCAUCUGAUACUGGCAAGCUUGAGUCUCGUAGAGGGGGUAGAAUUCCAGGUGUAGCGGUGAAAUGCGUAGAGAUCUGGAGGAAUACCGGUGGCGAAGGCGGCCCCCUGGACGAAGACUGACGCUCAGGUGCGAAAGCGUGGGGAGCAAACAGGAUUAGAUACCCCAGUAGUC